CAGAGUGAUGAAAACCUGGAGUUGUUGCAGCUUGAGCUGAAAAUGAAGAUGUGAAAGGCCUGCCAGUCGAGUCUGGAA